CUGGCCAAACUUCCCAAAGCCAUUUCUCCACAGGAAAGUCUUGAGCAGCAGCAGCAGCAAAAGACUGAAAUCGCCUCAUUGACAAGCACCAUGGAUCUGGGGGUCCUCAGCAAAGAUUUCCUGACUGCAGAAGCCAUUUGAGAUUUCAGUGAAAACUUUCAACUGAGACAGCUGUGGAUCUCUGCACACUUCCCAUAUGCACCCCCCACCCACCCCCAAAAAACAAUUAAACAAGGGGAGAAGGAAAAGUAGGAUAAAAGUCACUCCUUAGCUCCUAGGCCAUCAACACUGGAGCCCAGUGUAAGUGCUGACCAGUCGGAGUGAGAGGAGCAGCAAUCCCCAGUGAUGAGAAGCGAUCAUUUUUUCAGGGCAUGGCUGGGUUUGCAAGUCAAAACAAUGGGAGGCAUCCAAGACAUUAAAAAGUGAGCUCUGAACAAGAUCGCAGCGCCCAGCACACACAGUAAUAAUAAAAUCAUCAUCAUAAAAGGAUUCGUGCUUUGGUUCAGUUUAUUUUUUUCUUUUAGCGACCAUAUUUACCAUGGGUCUAGCUGCUGGUUAAAAAAUAUAUAUAUAUUAAAAAUAAAUAAAUCACCCACUGUACUUGGAUCACA